GUUAGGGGUAGUGUGUAGUGGGGGCUUGUUCUUUGGCUUUUCUUUUUGUGAAGAAAAGAGGGUAAAGAGAGAAUAACUCACGGUAGGCUACAGCGUGAAACAGUACCCUGAAGAGUGCCACAAUGUUCUUGGUACAAUAUACAGAGUGCAGAUGAUGUGGAGAAGUGAGUGAGUGACAAUAUUUCAAGGUUACGUUGAAGAGCAUACAGUGAACCUUAGUGCCUGGACCAACAGCUGCUGAAUUGAAUUGUCUGCAAUUAAAGCAACAGCAGGAUUGAACCAGCUGCCCUUUGACCCUGCCAACAACAACGAGCCCCUGCAGUUUGGUAGUGCCAGUGGCCCUCUGGUCACAGAAGGCCUCAUUGAAAAUGGAGGGGACUCAAGCAAGAAAAGAAAGAGAACAAAUGCUCCUUCAGUACUAGACAAAAGGAAGAGGCAAAGUGUUUUGUGAGCAGAGAUUGCCCUCUUCUUUUGUCACUGUAUCCUGGAUCAUGCAAAGAGGAAGCUCGGACUGGAAAUUCUUGUAGGAGCUAGCAGCCAUUUCUCUUCUAAGCUGAGAUACUAUGCGCCUUUGUAUCUCU
rnacentral:lncRNA from 1 species